CCCCCCCCCCCCCUUCCCCGGCCGCCCCCUCGGAUUUUAGGGCGGUGAAGGGAAGGGGCGGCGUUGCGGGGAGAGCCGCACGGCACGGGCGAUGCCGCUGUGCCUGGGGAGCAAACAAACAAAGCGAGGGGCUUCGAGCAUCGACGCGGGGGAGAGGUGUGGGGGGAGGGGGGGGGGGGAGGGGAGAGAAUUUGUUUUUGAAUGAUUUUUUCAUUUGUAUUAAUUUCUAUCUUUUCAGGUGGUGACGGAGGGAGGGGCGCCCCCCCCACACCCCCACACCCCGCAGCCCCUUCCCCCUCUCGGCUCAGGCACACGAAGCUCACGAGAGACGCAGGGAGCGGGGCCGGGUUGGGGGGGGCGGGCGGGGGGGUGGGGGGAUGCCGAGCUGAAGUCCUGCACCGAGAUGGGAAUGGACACAGAAGGGAACGCCGGAGAGGGCCGGGGCGGCCGUCGGACCCCGCACGGGGCGGGGCUGCUCCGCUGUGCUGCGUCCCGGGGCGGUGUUCCGGGAGCCCUCCGCUCUCGUUCCGUUCUUUAAAGAGAAACCCAAAAAACCCAAACAAACAAAACCAACCCAAACCGGCCUCCCCCCCCCCCCCCCCGCCCCUUCCCCCCCCGCCCCGCCAUUGUUAUUGGCAAACCGGAUCCUCUCACGGCGGGAAUAGAAAAGCGAGCAGGUCAGCUGCCCCCCUCCCCCACCAUAAAAACACGGCUGGGCACGAGCUGUGCUGGGGGCACGGGUAGCACCGAACGGGGCUUCUCCAGCGUUAAAAAGCGAUAUGGUGUUGCGGUGGUACAGUGGGGCCAUAUCCCGCCGGCUCUCGGCUGCUCUGCACCCAGAGAGUGGAUGGAUGGAUGGGUGGAUGGAUGGAUGGAUGGAUGGAUGGAUACAUGGAUGGAUAGGUAGAUGGAUGGAAAGGAUGCGGGGAAGGAAGGAAGGAUGGAUAGAUGGAUGGAAAGGAUGGAGGGAAGGAAGGAAGGAAAGAGAGAAAGACAGAAGGAAGGAAGGAAAGAGAGAAAAGGAAGGAAGGAAAGAGAGAAAAGGAAGGAAGGAAAGAAAGAGAGAAAGAAAAGGAAAGAAGGAAAGAGAAAGAAAAGGAAAGAAGGAAAGAGAAAGAAAAGGAAGGAAGGAAAGAGAAAGAAAAGGAAGGAAGGAAAGAGAAAGAAAAGGAAGGAAGGAAAGAGAGAAAGAAAAGGAAGGAAGGAAGGAAGGAAGGAAGGAAGGAAGGAGAGAAAGAAGGAAGGAAGGAAAGAAGGAAAAGGUAGCACUGUCUGCAGUGUAGGGUUGUUAGAGAAGGUUCCCCCACUGCUGCCACCAAACAGUUAAAACGUUCCAAGCCCUGUCCGAAAUGCAGUGUCGCGCUGUUGCUCUCUGCCUGGGCCGAGGUUUCAUCCUCCCCCCGCCCCGCCCCGCAGCCCUCAGCCCUCAGCCCCGCUCCAUCCAUGCCCGCUGACUGCCGGCCCCCGCACAGCCCGGGCUGCGGGCACGGAGGGCGGACAAACCGUUUCCUUUCCCCGGAACGUUUUGGAGGAGGAGGAGGGCCUGGAGGUGCCCCGGAGGUGAGGGAGAGGCCGGGGCUGUGCCUCCGCGCUGCGUGUGGACAACGCUCUGCAGGAGCCGGGACUUCACCGAGAGAGUAAUGCAGAAAGUGCGGUUGCAUCUCGGAUCGGAGAGGAACCCCGAAAGGCUCAGAGAAAAACCCCAAUGAAAUAUUGGUUUGGAGAAGGAAAAAAAAAAGAAAAAAAAGAAUGUCCAUACAAAUAUCUGUCUACCUUCUGGAUUUACCCCUCGUUCUCCUUUCUUCCUUCUCUUUAUUCUUUCCUUCCUUCUUUUCUUUCUUUUUUUUCUCCCCCUUUCUUUUAUUUCUUUCUUUCCUUUAUUUUUUUUCUCUCUUCCCUUUACUUUACCUCUCCCUUCCUUUCCUUCCUUUCCUUCCUUUCCUUCCUUUCCUUCCUUUCCUUCCUUUCCUUCCUUUCCUUCCUUCCUCUCUUCCUGUUCCCGUUCCCUCCCUGUUUCCCUUUUUACCCCUCUCCCUUCUCCCAUCCCUCCCUUCCCUCCUGCCCCGUCCCCUCUCUCUCCUCCGGGGCACACAGGGACUAUCGCAGCCCGGCCGCGCUCCGUUCCCCUCCCGGUGCCGCACCCCCAGGACGCAGCGGGGCCGUUCCAAGUUCAAAGUCGCACGGCCGUCCCCCGAGAGUCUCUUUACCCCUCCCCGCACCGCGGCCCCUUUUCCCCGGGCGCCGGAGAGCCCCUCUCCGGGUAGAAUGUGAUUCCGGAGCCGGGCCGGAGCUCUCCUCCGCGGACAGAACUUCAGGUCUGAUUUGAAUUUGAAUUUUUAUUAUUAUUAUUUUUUCCCAGCAGGUUUCUGGCCGCUCCCGACCCGCAGAUCCCUGCCGGGAGCACCCUCCUUCUGUAAGCGUUCCGAAUUUCCCUUUAAAACAGCCCCUCCCGUUGCCGGCUGCUAACGUGGAGACAGCUGGGGCGGGGGCACCGUUCAGUGCCUCGCGUACCCCCGCCGUGCCCCCUCGCACCCCUACCUCUGCCCACGGGGCUGCGGCGGGGCCGGACAGCCGCAGCCGGGCCGGGCCGGAGAGGGGAGAGCCGGGCCGGGAGAAGCACUGCAGCGCCGUCCGCGCCGCAGCCGCCAUCCGCCCGCCGCUCUCACGGAGAGAUACGGAGCUGCGGUCGGCUUUGAUGGGGCCGAGCUCCGCACUCCGGGGCCGUCCGACCUCUGACCCGCGAAGCCCACAUGUGCGGUGCUGCAGCUCCCUCUGUGAAACGCACCUCGGGACAGCAGCUCUUUGUCGGCUCCAACGGCAGCGCCAUCACCCCCAUGUCGAAGCUUUGCGGGUCAUCGUUCCUCUGCGGCUGCGGCACCGCGGCCGCUUUGCGUCGGUUUCCCCGCGGCUGAAAUAGGCCCUGGGGGGAAGUUGGGGAGGGCACCCGAGGACCCCUCCCCGCGACAGCGCCCGCCGCUUGGAUAGGGCGGCCCGGGAAGUGCCGCGGGCUCCGGGCACGGGCUCCCCAUCCUCCUCCUUCCCGUGCGCCGCGUGCCUCCCCGCCGCCGUGCGCUCAGCUCUUUUCUAAAGGAAAGGAAAGGAAAGGAAAGGAAUCCCC
ensembl:lncRNA